UACGUAGGUGGCAAGCGUUGUCCGGAAUUAUUGGGCGUAAAGCGCGCGCAGGUGGUUCCUUAAGUCUGAUGUGAAAGCCCACGGCUCAACCGUGGAGGGUCAUUGGAAACUGGGGAACUUGAGUGCAGAAGAGGAAAGUGGAAUUCCAAGUGUAGCGGUGAAAUGCGUAGAGAUUUGGAGGAACACCGGUGGUGUAGGCGACUACCUGGCCUGUUCUUGACGCUGAGGCGCGAAAGCUAGGGGAGCAAACGGG
rnacentral:rRNA from 1 species